UAUUGUCAGUUGGGUUCUAAUUUUGGUCUCAAGUGCAUUCACAUGUGUCACAAAAUUCACAAUUUAAUCGAUUAGCGAGAACACAUCCUGCUGAUCCGGCUCCAAAGAUGAUAAAUUCAAACUCUAUCUCCUUUGUUAAAUGCUUUACGAUCUGUAGGAUAACCAAAUAAAUUGAAGAUAAGUGUAACGCACAUUACUGAUGUUGAAUCACAUAUUGUACUUUGUCCACCAUUAGUGCAGAAUUGAGAAGAAAGAUCCGGUGGAGCCCAAGACAUCUAUAAAAUAUAAUAAUAUUUAGGUUAGACUGAGCCCACGCUUGCGUCGGCAUGCUGGAGGCCUCACACACUGAAGUGCUACGUACCAAGUGGUCAUUAACCAUGGGACACUUACAUUCAGUGGCUAUCUAGCCCGAUACUGAGAGCUGCAGUACGGCAGCUCAACUGUGCCCUGCUUUUUAAAAGAAGUUUUACAGGCAAUGUGCUAACCGUGGGAAAUCACCAGAUGUCCAACCAGUGCUCUACUUGAAGAAAUUAUGCUAACGCACUCCCUCCUCGAAACCACUGACACUAUGAAACCGACCCAAUUGAUCGGCUGCUGGAUAGCCAAAUUACAGCAGUGAGUUGCCGGCUCAACCCAUAGCCCCUUUACAAGCCAUAGGGUCUCGCCUUUACCCGGAUGACUGUAAUCGAUCUCAGAUAUUUCUGCGCCUGGACAAAUUAAUGCCGAUAAAGGUGCGCCAGCUAAAGUCGGCAGUGACCCCACUCACGAACAGUUCUCUCGGACCGCUUUUACCAAACAUAACAUAAUAAGUAGUGAGUAACUAACGUAAUGUCUGACAAUUUUUUUUCGU